rnacentral:rRNA from 1 species
CACCGCGGUCAAACGAGUGUGCCCAAGUGGACAAUCUACGGCGUAAGCGUGGUUAGGGAAACCCCACAACUAAAGUAGAACUAGCUCCGGGCUGUGAUACGCACCCGACACUGUGAAACCUCACCACGAAAGUGACUUUAACAACCCCUGAACCCACGAAAGCUGGGGAA